UACGGAGGGUGCAAGCGUUAUCCGGAUUCACUGGGUUUAAAGGGUGCGUAGGUGGGCAGGUAAGUCAGUGGUGAAAUCUCCGGGCUUAACCCGGAAACUGCCAUUGAUACUAUCUGUCUUGAAUACCAUGGAGGUGAGCGGAAUAUGUCAUGUAGCGGUGAAAUGCUUAGAUAUGACAUAGAACACCAAUUGCGAAGGCAGCUCACUACGCGAAUAUUGACACUGAGGCACGAAAGCGUGGGGAUCAAACAGG
rnacentral:rRNA from 1 species